rnacentral:lncRNA from 1 species
AAGAAUUCCCAAAGUGAUGGAUCCAAGAUCAUCAGUGGCGAGUUAACCCAAUAAGACGAAUUUCAUGUCUUAGACCAACAACAUCAACAUUUUAAGGGAAGAUUUUGUUACUUUCUCUCAUAGAAGGGCUCUGCCAUAGCUUUUGACACGAUUAAGAUAAGGAACUACUUCUGCGUCACAAUUGAAGCCGAGUUGGGAAGGGACCAUCAACAGCGAGCGGAUAGACGAUAGUGGAGCCAGUUCUGACAUGAAAGAGUAACACACUAACACUAGCCUCUUUGUUCUCUCCACUGACGAC